rnacentral:tRNA from 1 species
CGUAGCGCAGACCGGUUAGCGCGCCUGCCUUGGGAGCAGGAGGUCGCUGGUUCAAAUCCAGUCG